rnacentral:rRNA from 1 species
UCUAGCCUACGGGGGGCAGCAGUGAGGAAUAUUGGUCAAUGGCCGUAAGGCUGAACCAGCCAAGUAGCGUGAGGGAAGAAUGUCCUAUGGAUUGUAAACCUCUUUUGUCAGGGAGCAAAGUCACCCACGUGUGGGUGUUGGAGAGUACCUGAAGAAAAAGCAUCGGCUAACUCCGUGCCAGCAGCCGCGGUAAUACGGAGGAUGCGAGCGUUAUCCGGAAUUAUUGGGUUUAAAGGGUGCGUAGGCGGGUUAUUAAGUCUGCGGUAAAAUCGUGGAGCUCA